UGGGGAAUUUUGGACAAUGGGGGCAACCCUGAUCCAGCAAUGCCGCGUGUGUGAAGAAGGCCUUCGGGUUGUAAAGCACUUUUGUCCGGAAAGAAAUCGCACUUACUAAUAUUAGGUGUGGAUGACGGUACCGGAAGAAUAAGGACCGGCUAACUACGUGCCAGCAGCCGCGGUAAUACGUAGGGUCCAAGCGUUAAUCGGAAUUACUGGGCGUAAAGCGUGCGCAGGCGGUUGUGCAAGACCGAUGUGAAAUCCCCGGGCUUAACCUGGGAAUUGCAUUGGUGACUGCACGGCUAGAGUGUGUCAGAGGGGGGUAGAAUUCCACGUGUAGCAGUGAAAUGCGUAGAGAUGUGGAGGAAUACCGAUGGCGAAGGCAGCCCCCUGGGAUAACAGCUGACGCUCAUGCACGAAAGCGUGGGGAGCAAACA
rnacentral:rRNA from 1 species